rnacentral:rRNA from 1 species
UGAGGAAUAUUGGGCAAUGGGCGGAAGCCUGACCCAGCCAUGCCGCGUGAAGGAUGAAGGCGUUCUGCGUUGUAAACUUCUUUUAUCAGGGAAGAAACCACAGAUUUCUAUUUGUGUUGACGGUACCUGAGGAAUAAGCACCGGCUAACUCCGUGCCAGCAGCCGCGGUAAUACGGAGGGUGCAAGCGUUAUCCGGAUUUACUGGGUUUAAAGGGUGUGUAGGCGGGCUAUUAAGUCUGGGGUGAAAUCUCCGAGCUCAACUCGGAAACUGCCUUGGAUACUAUUAGCCUUGAAUUAUGUUGAGGUUGGCGGAAUAUAACAUGUAGCGGUGAAAUGCAUAGAUAUGUUAUAGAACACCGAUUGCGAAGGCAGCUAACUAAGCAUAUAUUGACGCUGAGGCACGAAAGCGUGGGGAUCAAACA